rnacentral:lncRNA from 13 species
CUCUCCCCAAACCUUUGGAAAUGUGACUUAGUGGAAUUGGACUUUGUAUGAUUUUUACAUGAAGAAAAAUGUUUUCUUUGGGACCAGAAAUUUAGUCCUAUAUCUAAGCCUUUCACAUCUGAGGUGAAUAAAGCAUUGAAGUGAAUCUGACAUGGACCAUGUUUAAAACUUACACAUUAUAAAAUUUGAUUAAAAUGAAUAUACGAGAUACUGUAUUGAACAUUCUGCUAAUUUUUCGAGUAAUGAGACCUAUCUUCUUUCUUGAGCUUUGGAUCAGGUCUCAGAGGAACACAUUAAUGUGCUAUAUAGCCUUUAAAAUACCAGGUAAAACAGCUGCUGUAUGAUGUAGCAGUUCCUCUUAGCGAGAGAGAACAGCUCGUCUGCCUCCAUGUUUCCAGCCAGUCUUGUGCUGCCUGCAGAGGUAAGGGCAGUUAUCCUGGGCUUUUCUCCAGUAAGAUGCAAUAAUUUCUCACAGCCCAAGGGUUCUCAAGGGAAACUUCUAAGUGUUGCCCAAACUUCAGUGAAAUGAUCUUUCGCAUAAACCUAAGAUUAAUAUACAGUUAGCUUGACUAUUGUUUCAUUUGCGUCAAAGCCAUGUCAGCAGUUCUGGUCAUAAAUCAGGAUCUUGCUAUACAAACUCACAGAAGAUUAUAACUUUCUCUUCUGGAUUGUACCCACAGUGUUGCAUUUUGGUUUAUUAUUCAUUUGUAUGCCAGUGGUGUGCAUGGUGGUUGCUGAGCACUCUUGUCUGAGGGACUGACUGACAUGUAAAGCAAAAGCCCUUCUCCAUAUGUGUUUGCAGUCUGGAGAGAAAAGCAAGUGAGGGAAGGAAUGUAAAGACAUGGUGGAGAAAGGAGCGUUUACUCCCAGGUUACAUGGUAAAUUAGUGGCAAUGCCUGUAUAACCUCUUGUGCUCUGUUCUCUGAAGCUGGUUUCUACACAGCAGGAAUAUUACAGUUGUGGUUGUGCCCUUACAGACUGCAGACCUUUUCAUGACACUCGUGUUUGAACUUCGACGUCUUUCUCUUGAGGCCUUAAGAGCACUAUGGCAAAGAUCUUCAUUUAAGUGCAGAGACAACUGGCAACCAUUAAUAGAUGCUCUCCCAUCUUGUGCUACAGAGGCAUGUGUUGUCCUAAUGAAAGACCUCAUAGCUUCUGCAGAAGUUGAGGAAGACAAAGUAGAAUAUUUCUUCUGGUCAUUUACAUUCAUUUCUAAUCCCACCUCAGGCAUGAUUGAAUCUCUUGCUCCUUUGCUGAAGUCACCUAGAGCAAGCCAGAGCUGCUUCUUGGGAGUAACUGCUCUUGUACAUAGGUUUUGUUCAGCUGACAGCUCCUGUGAUCAUGUACCUGCUGUGCAGAGUGUGAUGAGGACUCUUGGGAAAUUUUUGGGAGAAAACUGUACUGUGCAAGAUUCAGAACAUCUCAGCAAGGUAUUGGUUAUACAGAAGCAUAUGAUAUAGUGCUUUCUGUUCCCUUUAUGAUCUAGAACGUGUUUGAUGAAAAUGGUAUUAAUUGGAUUUCCAGAAAGCUAUGAAUACAAGCUCAGUGAAUGAAUAUUCCUUGCUAGAACAGGCCGAUAAAAUUUUGUAAUCCAACAAGUAUGACC